GUCUGCGGCCUAUCAGGUAGUAGUGGGUGUAGCGUACCUACUAGCCUACGACGGGUACGGGUUGUGAGAGCAAGAGCCCGGAGAUGGAUUCUGAGACACGAAUCCAGGCCCUACGGGGUGCAGCAGGCGCGAAAACUUUACAAUGCUGGCAACAGCGAUAAGGGAACCUCGAGUGCCAGGUUACAAAUCUGGCUGUCGAGAUGCCUAAAAAGCAUUUCAUAGCAAGGGCCGGGCAAGACCGGUGCCAGCCGCCGCGGUAACACCGGCGGCUCGAGUGGUAACCGUUAUUAUUGGGUCUAAAGGGUCUGUAGCCGGCCGGAUAAGUCUCUUGAGAAAUCUGGCAGCUUAACUGUCAGGCUUUCAGGAGAUACUGUCUGGCUCGAGGCCGGGAGAGGUGAGAGGUACUUCAGGGGUAGGGGUGAAAUCUUGUAAUCCUUGAAGGACCACCAGUGGCGAAGGCGUCUCACCAGAACGGACCUGACGGCAAGGGACGAAAGCUAGGGGCACGAACCGGAUUAGAUACCCGGGUAGUCCUAGCCGUAAACGAUACUCGCUAGGUGUCGGCCACGGUGCGACCGUUGUCGGUGCCGUAGGGAAGCCGUGAAGCGAGCCACCUGGGAAGUACGGGCCGCAAGGCUGAAACUUAAAGGAAUUGGCGGGGGAGCACCACAACGGGUGGAGCUUGCGGUUUAAUUGGAUUCAACGCCGGAAAUCUUACCGGGACCGACAGCAAUAUGAAAGGCAGGCUGAAGACUUUUGCCGCAAUAUGCUGAGAAGUG
rnacentral:rRNA from 1 species